GACGAACGCUGGCGGCGCGCCUAACACAUGCAAGUCGAACGAGCGAGAGAGAGCUUGCUUUCUCGAGCGAGUGGCGAACGGGUGAGUAACGCGUGAGGAACCUGCCUCAAAGAGGGGGACAACAGUUGGAAACGACUGCUAAUACCGCAUAAGCCCACAGGUCGGCAUCGACCAGAGGGAAAAGGAGCAAUCCGCUUUGAGAUGGCCUCGCGUCCGAUUAGCUAGUUGGUGAGGUAAUGGCCCACCAAGGCGACGAUCGGUAGCCGGACUGAGAGGUUGAACGGCCACAUUGGGACUGAGACACGGCCCAGACUCCUACGGGAGGCAGCAGUGGGGAAUAUUGCACAAUGGGGGAAACCCUGAUGCAGCGACGCCGCGUGGAGGAAGAAGGUCUUCGGAUUGUAAACUCCUGUUGUUGAGGAAGAUAAUGACGGUACUCA
rnacentral:rRNA from 1 species